rnacentral:rRNA from 1 species
AUUGAACGCUGGCGGCAUGCCUUACACAUGCAAGUCGAACGGCAGCACGGGAGCAAUCCUGGUGGCGAGUGGCGAACGGGUGAGUAAAGUAUCGGAACGUGCCCAGUCGUGGGGGAUAACGUAGCGAAAGUUACGCUAAUACCGCAUACGAUCUAUGGAUGAAAGCGGGGGAUCGCAAGACCUCGCGCGAUUGGAGCGGCCGAUUUCAGAUUAGGUAGUUGGUGGGGUAAAGGCUCACCAAGCCGACGAUCUGUAGCUGGUCUGAGAGGACGACCAGCCACACUGGGACUGAGACACGGCCCAGACUCCUACGGGAGGCAGAAGUGGGGAAUUUUGGACAAUGGGCGAAAGCCUGAUCCAGCCAUGCCGCGUGCAGGAUGAAGGCCUUCGGGUUGUAAACUGCUUUUGUACGGAACGAAAAGGUUUGGCCUAAUAAGCUGAGCUCAUGACGGUACCGUAAGAAUAAGCACCGGCUAACUACGUGCCAGCCGCCGCAGUAA